rfam:Capsicum annuum cultivar Zunla-1 chromosome 6, whole genome shotgun sequence
UAACCCCAUAUCAGGCGGGAUUGCCCGUUGAGUUUAACCAUAUCAAUAAGCAAAGUAAAAGAAACUUACAAGGAUUUUCUUAGUAACGAUGAGCAAAUCGAGAACAACCCAACCUUAGAAUCGAGCAAAAUUAUCGUACUUAUUAUAGUCUGGAGAAACAUCCUCAGCGGUGGAUCAGACCUAAGUCCCCUGAAGGGGGCGUCAUAGAGGGUGAGAUCUUCGUUGUUCCUGAACCCUAUCGCACCAUGAGGCGCUGUCUACGGUCGGGUUGUUUGGGAAUACAGCCCAAAUCGGGCGGAGAAUUCCCUGCAAGGUUAAAUACGGGCGAGAGUCCGAUAGCAAACAAGUACCGUGAGGGAAAUAUCAGAAGGACUUAAAAAGUGAGUCAAAGACUGCUUGAAAUUAUUGAGAGAAAAGUGGAUGGGGUCGAUGAUGCGCCUCAGUCAUAUGUGGAAUGGCGACGAGCUAUUCUACCGAUCAACUCUAGGAAUGAACCAGUAUGGAUUAGGGGGGCGGCCAAAGCUCGGGAUAUCGAUACGCUCAUGGAAUAUCAUCUCCUUGAUUGUGAUAGACAGCUCGCGCCUCUGGCGUGCUUCGACAUCUAUGCAUUCCGAAUGCUGUCCUGUGGCUUCCUAUUCGACCCAUCUUGAAACACGGACCAAGGAGUCUGACAUGUGUGUGAGUCAACAGGUGAGUAAACCCAAAAGGCAUAAGGAAGCUGAUUAGUGGGAUCCUCAGAGGGGUGCAUCGCUGACCAACCUUGAUCUUCUGAGAAGGGUUCGAGUGUGAGUAUACCUAUUGGGACCCAAAAGAUGGUGAACUAUGCCUGAGUAGGGCGAAGCCAGAGGAAAUUCUGGUAUAGGCCCACAGUGAUACUGAUAUGCAAAUCGUUCGUCUGACUUGUGUAUAGAGGAGAAAGACCAAUCGAACCGUCUAGUAGUUUGUUCCCUCCAAAGUUUCCCUUAGGAUAACUGGAGAUCACGUGUGAGUUCUAUUAUGUAAAGCCAAUGAUUUGAGGCCUCGGGGAUGCAACCCCCUCAACCUAUUCUCAAACUUUAAAUAGGUAGGACGGCGUGACUACUUUGUUGAGCCACACUAUAGAAUAAAGAGCUCCAAGUAGGCAAUUUUUGGUAAGUAGAACUAGCGAUGCGGGAUGAAUCAAAAGAUGGGUUAUGGUGCCACACUGUGCGCUAACCUAGAUCCCACAAAGGGUGUUGGUCGAUUAAGAUAGUAGGACAGUGGUCAUGGAAGUUAAAAUCUGCUAAGGAGUAUGGAAAAACUAACCUACCGAAUCAACUAGCCCCAAAAAUGGUUGGCGCUUAAGUGCGCGACUACACCCAGUUGUUGGGGCCAGUGCCAGGCUCUGAUGAGUAGGAGAAAAAAACGGUAACUGUAAAACCAUGGGCGCAAGCUCGAGCGCAGCGACCAUUGGUGCAGAUAUUGGUGUUAGGAGCAAAUAUUCAAAUGAAAACUUUGAUGGACGAAGAGAGGAAAGGUUACAUAUGAACGACACUUUCACAUGGGUUAGUCGAUCCUAAGGUUUAGGGGAACCCCAAAAGAUAGCGCAUUUCACGUGUACUUUGAAAGUGAAUCAGGUUAAACUAACUUAACCGGGAUGUGGCAGUCGACAACAACGUUAGGAAUUUUGGAGACGUCGACAGUAGCCUCAGGAAGAGUUAUCUUUUUUGCUUAACAGCCUACCCACCCUGGAAUCAGCUCAGCUGGAGGUAGGGUCCAGCAGCUAGAAGAGCACCAUAAAUUGCAUGGUAUCUGAUGCACUCCCAAUGACCCAUGGUAAUCCGGAGGACUGAAUUCUGUCCACACCUAGUCAUACUCAUAACCGCAUCAGGUCUCCAAGGUAAACAACCUUUGGUCGAUGGAAUAAUGUAGGCAAGGGAAGUUGGCAAAAUAGAUUCGCAACUUCGCGAAAAGGAUUGGCUCUGAGGUUUGGGCAUGGGGGUCCCAGUCCCGAACCCAUCAGCUAUCGAUGGACUGCUUGAGAUGCUCUGUGGUGGGAGUGGGUCAUCACGUGUUGGCUGGGGAUGGACUGGGAAUGGUUCUUUUAGGGGCCUUCCCCGCACGUCGAACAGCCAACUCAUAACUGGUACAAACAAGGGAAAUCUGACUAUUUAAUUAAAACCAAGCAUUGAAAUGGUCCUAAUGGAUGUUCACACAAUGUGAUUUUUGCCCAGUGCUCUGAAUGUCAAAGUGAAGAAAUUCAACCAAGCGCAAUUGAACAAUGGGAGUAACUAUGACUCUCUUAAGGUAGCCAAAUGGCUUGUCAUCUAAUUAGUGAUGCGCCUGAAUGGAUUAAUGAGAUACCUACUGUCCCUGUCUACUAUCCAGCAAAACCAUAGCUAAGGGAAUAGGCUUGGCAAAAUGAGCAGGGAAAAAAGACCCUGCUUAUCUUGACUCUAGUCCGACUUUGUGAAAUGGCUUGAGAGGUGUAGUAUAAGUGGGAGCCAAAAGGAGAAAGUGAAACACCAGUACUUUUAAUGUUAUUUUACUUAUUUUUGUGAAUUGAAAGUAGGGCAAUGCCCCUCUUUUUGGACCCAAGCCUCACUCUGAGGGCCAAUUCGGGUGGAAGACAUUGUCAGGUUGGGAGUUUGACUGGGGUGGCACAUCUAUUAAAAGAUAACACAGGUGUCCUAAGAUGAGCUCAAUAUGAAUAGAAAUCUCAUGUGGAAUAGAAGGGUAAGAGCUCGCUUGAUUCUGAUUUCCAGUACGAAUAGGAACUGUGAAACCGUGGCCUAACAAUCCUUUAGAUCUUCAAAAUUAGAAGCUAGAGGUGUCAGAAAAGUUACCACAGGGAUAAAUGGCUUGUGGCUGCCAGGCGUUUAUAGCGACGUAGCUUUUUGAUCCUUCGAUGUUGGCUCUUCCUAUAUUUGUGAAGCAGAAUUCACCAAGUGUUGGAUUGUUCACCCACCAAUGUAGAAUGUAAGCAGGGUUUAGACUAUCAUGAGAUAGGUUAGUUUUGCCCUACUGAUGACAUUGUCGCAAUAGUAAUUCAGCGUAGUACGAGAGGAAUCGUUGAUUCAUAGAAUUGGUCAUCGCGUUUGGUUAAAAAGCCAGUAGCAUGAAGCUACUGUUACUGGGUUAUGACUGAACACCUCUAAUUCAAAAUCCUGGCUAGAAGCGGCGCAUGCGGCCACCGCUCUCAUACCGAUCUAUAGUAGGGGCCUCGCCCCCCAAGGGCACAUGUUGUUGGCUAAGCCAUCGUGGCGAAAGGUUUGUGAAGGCUUCUUUGAAGUACAAUUUUCAUUGAACGGUGGGUAGAAUCCUUUACAUAUGACUUAAAUAUGUGAUAGGUAUUGUAAGUAGCAAAGUGGCCUUGCUGCCACGAUCCACUGAGAUUCAGCCCUUUGUCACUUUGGUUCGU